rnacentral:rRNA from 1 species
GAUCUGGCUCAGGAUGAACGCUAGCUACAGGCUUAACACAUGCAAGUCGAGGGGCAUCAGUUUGGUUUGCUUGCAAACCAAAGCUGGCGACCGGCGCACGGGUGAGUAACACGUAUCCAACCUGCCUCAUACUCGGGGAUAGCCUUUCGAAAGAAAGAUUAAUAUCCGAUAGCAUAUAUUUCCCGCAUGGGUUUUAUAUUAAAGAAAUUCGGUAUGAGAUGGGGAUGCGUUCCAUUAGUUUGUUGGGGGGG